GAUCAUGGCUCAGGAUGAACGCUAGCUACAGGCUUAACACAUGCAAGUCGAGGGGCAGCAUGGUCUUAGCUUGCUAAGGCCGAUGGCGACCGGCGCACGGGUGAGUAACGCGUAUCCAACCUGCCUUACACUCUUGGACAGCCUUCUGAAAGGGAGAUUAAUACAAGAUGUUAUCAUGGGUAAGCAUUUUCGCAUGAUUAAAGGUUUACCCUGUAGUAAGAGGUGGGUAUGUCCG
rnacentral:rRNA from 1 species